GGUUAAGCGAAUAAGCGUACACGGUGGAUGCCUAGGCAAUCAGAGGCGAUGAAGGACGUGCUAAUCUGCGAUAAGCGUCGGUAAGGUGAUAUGAACCGUUAUACCCGACGAUUUCCGAAUGGGGAAACCCAAUAUCCAAUGGAUAUUAUCAUUAACUGAAUACAUAGGUUAAUGAAGCGAACCGGGAGAACUGAAACAUCUCAGUACCCCGAGGAAAAGAAAUCAACCGAGAUUCCCCUAGUAGCGGCGAGCGAACGGGGAACAGCCCAGAGUCUUAAUCAAUAGCAGCAUCAGGAGAACGGUCUGGAAAGUCCGGCAGUAAAGGGUGAUAGCCCCGUAUCCGAAGAUGCUGUUGUUGUGAACUCGACGAGUAGGGCGGGACACGUGUUAUCCUGUCUGAAUAUGGGGGGACCAUCCUCCAAGGCUAAAUACUCCUGAUUGACCGAUAGUGAACCAGUACCGUGAGGGAAAGGCGAAAAGAACCCCGGCGAGGGGAGUGAAAAAGAACCUGAAACCGUGUACGUACAAGCAGUAGGAGCCCCAUCACUCAAGUGCCUCGCACUGAGUGAUUGGACAAACCACUCGAAAACAGCGCAGCGUUUACCUACAAAGUGGAUUGAUUUUUUCAAGCCGUCGCGCAGUGUACAUAGAAGUACACGAGCAACGGAAGUUAAAAAAUCGAGCCAGUUUGACAGUAAAAGCAAGCGGGACAUUUGAGGAUGGGGUGACUGCGUACCUUUUGUAUAAUGGGUCAGCGACUUAUAUUCUGUAGCGAGGUUAACCGUAUAGGGGAGCCGUAGGGAAACCGAGUCUUAACUGGGCGAAUGAGUUGCAGGGUAUAGACCCGAAACCCGGUGAUCUAUCCAUGGGCAGGUUGAAGGUUGGGUAACACUAACUGGAGGACCGAACCGACUAAUGUUGAAAAAUUAGCGGAUGACUUGUGGAUGGGGGUGAAAGGCCAAUCAAACCGGGAGAUAGCUGGUUCUCCCCGAAAGCUAUUUAGGUAGCGCCUCGUGAAUUCAUCUUCGGGGGUAGAGCACUGUUUCGACUAGGGGGUCAUCCCGACUUACCAACUCGAUGCAAACUGCGAAUACCGAAGAAUGUUAUCACGGGAGACACACGGCGGGUGCUAACGUCCGUCGUGAAGAGGGAAACAACCCAGACCGCCAGCUAAGGUCCCAAAGUCAUGGUUAAGUGGGAAACGAAGUGGGAAGGCUCAGACAGCCAGGAUGUUGGCUUAGAAGCAGCCAUCAUUUAAAGAAAGCGUAAUAGCUCACUGGUCGAGUCGGCCCGCGCGGAAGAUGUAACGGGGCUAAACCAUGCACCGAAGCUGCGGCAGCGACACUAAGUGUUGUUGGGUAGGGGAGCGUUCUGUAAGCCUGCGAAGGUGUACUGUGAGGUAUGCUGGAGGUAUCAGAAGUGCGAAUGCUGACAUAAGUAACGAUAAUGCGGGUGAAAAACCCGCACGCCGGAAGACCAAGGGUUCCUGUCCAACGUUAAUCGGGGCAGGGUGAGUCGACCCCUAAGGCGAGGCUGAAAAGCGUAGUCGAUGGGAAACGGGUUAAUAUUCCCGUACUGGUGGUAACUGCGAUGGGGGAACGGAGAAGGCUAGGUUGUCCGGGCGACGGUCGUCCCGGUUCAAGCAUGUAGGCAGAGUGAUUAGGCAAAUCCGGUCACUUAAUGCUGAGGUGUGAUGACGAACCACUAAGGUGGUGAAGCAAUUGAUGCCCUGCUUCCAGGAAAAGCCUCUAAGCUUCAGGUUACCAACAAUCGUACCCCAAACCGACACAGGUGGUCAGGUAGAGAAUACUCAGGCGCUUGAGAGAACUCGGGUGAAGGAACUAGGCAAAAUGGUGCCGUAACUUCGGGAGAAGGCACGCUGGCGGUAAGUGAAGUCCCUCGCGGACGGAGCCGAAGCCAGUCGAAGAUACCAGCUGGCUGCAACUGUUUAUUAAAAACACAGCACUGUGCAAACACGAAAGUGGACGUAUACGGUGUGACGCCUGCCCGGUGCUGGAAGGUUAAUUGAUGGGGUUAUCCUUAGGGAGAAGCUCUUGAUCGAAGCCCCAGUAAACGGCGGCCGUAACUAUAACGGUCCUAAGGUAGCGAAAUUCCUUGUCGGGUAAGUUCCGACCUGCACGAAUGGCGUAAUGAUGGCCAGGCUGUCUCCACCCGAGACUCAGUGAAAUUGAACUCGCUGUGAAGAUGCAGUGUACCCGCGGCAAGACGGAAAGACCCCGUGAACCUUUACUAUAGCUUGACACUGAACAUUGAGCCUUGAUGUGUAGGAUAGGUGGGAGACUAUGAAGUGUGGACGCCAGUCUGCAUGGAGUCAACCUUGAAAUACCACCCUUUAACGUUUGAUGUUCUAACCUAGGCCCAUAAUCUGGGUCGGGGACCGUGUCUGGUGGGUAGUUUGACUGGGGCGGUCUCCUCCUAAAGAGUAACGGAGGAGCACGAAGGUUGGCUAAGCAUGGUCGGACAUCAUGCGGUUAGUGCAAAGGCAUAAGCCAGCUUGACUGUGAGAGUGACGGCUCGAGCAGGUACGAAAGUAGGUCUUAGUGAUCCGGUGGUUCUGAAUGGAAGGGCCAUCGCUCAACGGAUAAAAGGUACUCCGGGGAUAACAGGCUGAUACCGCCCAAGAGUUCAUAUCGACGGCGGUGUUUGGCACCUCGAUGUCGGCUCAUCACAUCCUGGGGCUGAAGUAGGUCCCAAGGGUAUGGCUGUUCGCCAUUUAAAGUGGUACGCGAGCUGGGUUUAGAACGUCGUGAGACAGUUCGGUCCCUAUCUGCCGUGGGCGUUGGAAGAUUGAGAGGGGUUGCUCCUAGUACGAGAGGACCGGAGUGAACGCACCACUGGUGUUCGGGUUGUCAUGCCAAUGGCAUUGCCCGGUAGCUAAGUGCGGAAGAGAUAACCGCUGAAAGCAUCUAAGCGGGAAACUUGCCUCGAGAUGAGUCUUCCCUGUCACCUAGAGUGACCUAAAGGAACGUUUAAGACUAAGACGUUGAUAGGCUGGGUGUGUAAGCGUAGCGAUACGUUGAGCUAACCAGUACUAAUGAACCGUGAGGCUUAACCUG
rnacentral:rRNA from 1 species